GCCACCUGAAAGACAUGAAUGGAUCUACUUACGUUCAUGGACACAGGUCCUCACCACUUAACUAAGUCCGCAGCCAGGAGACCACAUUGUUGGCAGAUCUCUGCCGCUGACGUGUUGUGGGUACUCCUCCCUGCUCUGGGCUUGCCUACCCAGUCUAUUCGACAGGGAGAUGGUAACUCCAUGAUUCCUAAGGUUUCUUCUAGCUGUGCUCUUCUGAAGGUUUGUUAACAGUAUCCAGCUCUCCUAGAAAGUCCCCUAGUCGCGACUCUGACACGUAUCAUGUUACUGUUGAAAACUUAAGUUUCAUGAUUAGGUAAAAGUGGAUGUCCUUCCUUCAACUCAGCUUCAUUUAAGGAUCUUGGACUCUGGAUUCAGUUUUGUCAAAAGUGAGUAACAGUGACGUGGUAAUGUUGGGAGGAGACUUAUGCUCCAGGAUGGGAUCUUGCAGGACCUCGAACAGAUUCGACAAAAUCGGUCAAGGUACGCAAAGUUUGGAAUUAAGAAAGAGUAAGCAAAACAUGUUCCCCCCUUGGGUAAGUGUUCUGAUGAAAGGAUCAAAACCCUGCAACUUAUUUCCAGCUGUAGGAAUCAGAGAUAACGGACUGUUAAAAAAAAUUGCUUCGGGGGCAAGGAAAACCCAGUAAAACUCACAGAACACACCCCAAGUGGCGGAGGCAAUGGCGAGGCAGAAUGUCCACGGCUAGUCAAAACCCGAAUGGUCAAUAUGCACCACAGCAGGCCUCUAAUAGAUUGUUCCUCUGCAAGACCUGAGGACCUUGAGCUCAAACACCCCACACCCGGCUCAUGAACGUCUUGCCUAAGUCCUCUUUAUUCUGCUUCAUACGUCAGGUCAUCCGCUUCUCUUCCGUCAAUUACGUUACACGUUCUUAUCUGGCCUAUUGUUAUUGCACCCUAAGUAAUCUCCCUGUCCCCCACUUGAUACCAUUCAGCCCUUUGCUGCUGAAGUUGAUUUUCCAAAACACACAUGACCAUGCGGCUUCACUGUGGCUGUGGGAUCAGGCCUCUGUCCCUGGGAUCGUGGACGAGCCCGUUCUGAUCUAGGGCUGAUCUGCGGGUCCAGCCUCAGCUCGGGGCCAGCUGUGCCCUGACAUGUCAUUCUGAAAGCAUGCCAUGCCUGUCCACGCCUCGGCCCCCUUGCGCGUACCAUCCCCAUUCUUCGUCUGCUUGUCUUAUUUAUCUUCCACCACCCAGCUCACAGCUUCCCAGGCUAUGGUGCGCUCAUCACACCUCCAGAUCCCACAGCUCCCCGUACAUGCUUCCUUUCUGCCUGCAUCACCCUGGGCUGCUUCAGAUGCAGCCCCUGGAGCGACGGAUAUUUGGGUUCAAAUCCCAACUCUUCUACUCACUGGCUGUGAAAUACCAGAUAAGUCUCUCUGAGCCCCAGUUUCCUCAUCUGUUACGUGGGGAGUAUGAUCUCUAAUUAUAGGACUCCCAUGAGCAUUAGAGAUGAUGUAUAUAAAGGACCUAGUAUACAGCCUGGUAUAAAAUAGGUGAUGGGCGAAUAAAAUGAAUGAAUGAAUGAAUGGAUGGAUGGAUGGAUGGAUGAAAGUGUGCCCGAGUCUUCUACAGCCGAAGUCAAUACUGGGAAAUUAUACCAGCAUCUUUGGAUGACAGUAAUCCCGCUUUAUCUACGACCUCAUUUUUUGUGGUUUCAGUUACCCCUGGUCAGACCCAGUUCAGAAGCAAGAUGAUCCUCCUUCUGACAUAUUGUCCAAAGACCGCAUGGAGGAGACUCGGAGCCUCCUAAUGCUGGUUUUGUCAAGAGUUGACGGCUGACAGCCCCAUUCAGCCUCAAAGGCCCACAUGUGGAUAAAGGAAAACGAAGUUCGAUGGGAAGCUUAACGCUACAAUGGAUUUUAAAAGAACAGAUCGAAUGAAUCGUAAACACCUGAUUAUUUCUCUGAACCACAGAGGAGGACAACAAAAAAAUCAGCCUUGCGGGCACCGGAGGAAAGUCACAUCUGCCAGCAGACAGCACCCUGUGCUGGCAGAGGGGGAAACUGAGCUUCGGCAGUGUCCCGGCAGGAUUUGCACAAAGUCUCCUGUUUCGAGCUGGGGUGUCCCCGCCGUCCCAGGGCAGCGCCCAGCCCGCAUCUCCCUUCUCAAAGCCCCAAGGAUUGACAAGAACCCCCUGCAACACCCCCAGGACACCCAGGAACCUGACAGAACAGAAUCUGUCUUCUUCCUGAAAAGAUCUGCUCUCCCAGUUCCUUCCUUUAUCCUGUGUGGCUGGCCCCAGCUCUUCAGAGAAAAUAACUGGGAAGCUCAAAAAGAUGGCUAUAGUUUUCUGCUCGUCUUCAGGACACCGGCAAAAAGACACCAGUGAAGCAGAAACAACCCACUAAGAAGGCAAUUCUGACAUCUACACUAGGAAAGAAAAAAGGUCCAAAUCCCAAAGCCUCAGACAGCCUGCAAACAGCAACAGAUUUUCCUGCGAACAGAGCCACUGGCCAGGAAUGGGAGGGAGCCCCAAGUCCUACAGUUGGCUAGUGGUUCUCCUCCACUUAAAAGCAAAACUUGUGCUGUUUACCAGCUCAGAGUGUGCGGAGAUCUAAUUCAGCCCAGUGCGGGUCCACAAACAGCAGGAGAGCCCGCACCCUAUGGGUAUAGAAACACCUGGGCCUGUGUACCAGCCUAUACCCUGAGAUUGUGGAGAAAUGCAGCACCAGAUCUAAGUCGAGCCGAAUCAUAAGACAGUUACUUCCCCACGACAAUGACAACCGAUACUCAAUAUGGAGAGAGACGUCUGGGCGUGAAAAAUAGAUUUUGCGGAGAAGCUUUUCUGUGUUAGGCACAGCGCUAAGCAUAAGCAUGGUCUCAAGUACUCCCGAGGAUUUGUAAGGGUCACCCUAUUGUACUCAUUUUACAGAUGAGAAAACUGAGGCUCAGAGAGAGUCUACACCUUGCCAAGAUCAUCCAGCUCUUUUUUACUCCUCUGCUACUACCGCCAAGAGUUGACAUUUGUUGAGCCCUCUGUGUCGGGGACUGUUCUAGUAAUGUGUUAAUUUCCUUCAAUCAUUUUUACAUCUCGUAGAGUUGGGUAGUAGGCUUAGCCCCGUUUUACAGAUGAGGAAAGCGCCCAGAGAGAUUAAGUAGUAUACCCAAGAUCACACAGUUAGAAAGCGACAGGGGACAAAUUUGAGACCUUACCCACGGUCUGGCACUGCUCCUCACUCAUAUAUUAUAAUGUGUCUGGCAUUUCAAAUACAGCAUCCACAGGGAAGCUCGACUCGAGGCAUUCUGGAAAGAGCAGUAGGCUCGGAGUCCGAAGUUAGCUGUAAUCUUUCCUUUCUGUGCGAGCUGACUGUGCACCGUUGGGCCCAAUACUUUAUUAACAUCUCUGAUCCUGCUUUGCGUCGGGGAAAGGAGGCUUGCUAUGAGGCUUCAGGGUGAUUAUGUUUGUGGAAGUGCUUUGCUAGCUGCCCGGUGGUGUGUAUCUGAGAGAGGGCCCCCCCGCCCAGUCUAACCCAGGUCACGGACACAGGUACUCUCCACGCUUGGGUACUGCUGCCUUGGCAGAUUUGGGGGAACAGGGGUUUGAAUCCCCCCCCCCCCCCCAGAAUUCUUCUUGCCUCCGUUUUCUCUCCAGUUUCUCUAUUUUAACACUUUCAAAUGUCAGUCUUGCCAGGCCUGGCAUUAGUGAGAGGCUGUGGUCGAUAAUGUGGGUGCAAAUAUAUGAGAUGAGAGAAUAUGUUUGAACUCAGGCACUGUUUUAGCAAAAUGUUGCUUUCUGUUUCAGGCAGGGUAGGGGAAAAAAAAAACGUUUAAGAGUCCCAUUAAGAAGCCUCAUAGGCUCCUCAGACAUCAAAUAACUCUCGCAAAACAACAUUUUAAUGAUUUAAGUGUAAAUGAAUCAGAAACACAUGGAUUGCAUUUCUCUUGGAAUACCCCAGGGUUUUUAAACCGAAGGAGAAAGAACUUGGCUCAAAGCACAGUGUGCUAUGCAGAGGGCCCUGCCCGUCACAGACAUUCCCUCUAUUCAUGUGGCAGCAGGACUGGCCCUCUCCUAAUUUAGGGCACAUACAGGAAUAUGCAAUCAUUUGUUCUGGGCACAGAGGGAAGAGCUUGGGAGAGAAAGCCAUCAGCGUCUCCUUGUAAGUGUCAUAGAGCACUUGAGCUUCCCAGAAUAAUUUCCUGGCCAGAUUUUUUCAAGGCUGCCAAUGUUCAAUGGGAGGCAUUUGAAAUACGUUCUAAGCCAAAGUUCUGCCAAUAGACAGCAGAUCUGAUAUGUGUUUCCCUGGGAGUUCGCCAAGGCUCAGAUGGAAUCUGCGUGAAAACAGGAACUGUGUGUGGCUGGCUCAGUGAAUGAUCUGGGUGAGAUUCAGGGAAGUUUCCCAUUAGACUAGAAGACAUUGGUGAUGUUGUCCUGACCUUUUGAUGAAAAAAAAAAAAACUCUCUGAAGUAUCAUUAACAGACCAUGAGAAGUAGGAGGAACACAAGGGAGAUUGGUCUGGGAGUAGACUCGGUGUCAGUAGGCUAACUUGUACGUGACCUUGGGCAGCGACUUUCCCGGCUGGGGGGAGGGAGGGGAGGGUCAUCUGUUUGCCCCACUAUAAACUCAGGGAUUGGACCCCGCUGAGAUGAUGGAACACAUAUGAAUGUGGAUGCGAGAACUGUGGAAUAACCCUGCAGUGAAGGUAGUUGCGGGGGUUGCUCUCAUGACCUACGAAGAGAGUCGAGUCUCGAGCGGCCAACUCAUCUCGACACUUGGUUUAUCUGCGAUCAUCGCACAUGACAUUGCUCAGGAUUCCGUCGUGGGUCUUCAGAAAAAUAAUUUUUAAGAAGAUUCACCUAGGUUUUUAAAAGUUUGACAAAAGGCUUAAAAUAUACAUCCAAGCAACUAACACUACCUCAUUUAGAAUCCUAAAAUGUAGAACAACAGAGGUGGGCUCAACAGCCCCAGGUUAGAGUGCAAGACAGGGGUCAGAAAUACAGCACUAAGAGGGUAAAUGUGACAGCAUUCCUACCACUAGGACCGGGCUUGGUUUAUAUGUUGUACCGAGUAUUUAUUAUAUACGACUCCUGAGCCGAGACUUUCUGGAAUCCCAUGAAUGUGCUAGAAAAUGUCAAGUAUUUGGGCAAUGGGAUUUUGUUGGCAAAGUCGGAAAUCCAGGCUUCCUAUAGAAUAUCUAAGAAACUGGUAAAUAGCCCCAAGGAUGGCACCUUAUAAUUAUAUUUUGGGUUAUACAAUACAUUGACUAUGUUGAAAGCCAUUGCUUCAGAGCCUAUCAUAUUUUCAGAAUAAUAUGGGGGGGGGGAAUUAAAGAAAUACCAGUCCCUAAACUUCAUCCCAGGAGAUUCAAAUUCAGUGAAUUUGGGGUGGAGAGCCUGAAUCUCUAAUUUUAAAAGCUCUCCUAGGGGCACCUGGGUGGCUCAGUCGGUUCAGCGGUUGAGCGGCCGACUUCAGCUCAGGUCAUGAUCUCAUGGUUCGUGGGCCCAAGCCCACAUGGGGCUCGCUGCUGUCAGCGCAGAGCCUGCUUUGGAUUAUCUGUCCCCCUCUCUCUCUGCCCCUCCCCGGCUCGUGUUCUCUCUCAACAAUAAAUUAAAAAAAAACAUUAAAAAAUAAAAGUCGUCAUGGCAUGUUUUUGCCUAUCUGGGUACAUACACCAUAAUGGUACAUCUUAUCAUUGAUGGCAUUUUAUUUUAGCUUUUACUUAUCUAUAUAUAUUUUUUAACAAUUGUAAAUAUUUAUGCACCCAACAUGGGAGGACCCAAACAUAAAGCAACUAUUAACAUAGAAGAAGAAAUUGAUGACAAUACAAUAUUGGUAGGGGACUUAAAGACCCUACUUACAACAAUGGACGGAUCAUCCAAACAGAAGUUGAUGGCAUUUUAGAUUUGAUGAAGUAUCCUUAGCAUGUGCCAGAUGCUUCCAUAUACAUUAUUACAUGUAGUAGUCACAUAUUUUUACAGAGGAAGACACUGAGGCUCAGAGAGACCAUGCCAGUAAGAGGACAACCGACAUGUGGAGUCUAGGCCCCCUGACCCCGGAUCCAGGACUCUUUCCCUUCAUCUGCAGCUCCCGAUCCUGCCUGUGGACUUUGAACACCCAUGAGCCAUGCUAUCACGUGUCUGCAAGAGUUCAGGGAAGGCAAAAAGCGUAUCUGUUGAAAAAGAAACUAUUAGGCUCUGUUAUGAGCUGAAGUAUGUCCUUCCUAAAUUCGUACGUUGAAGCCCUAACCCCCAGGACCUCGGAAUGCGACAAUUUGGAGAUAGAGACUUGAAGAGAGGUUCCCCAGAUGCUAAGACCACAGGGACCAAGCAGAUCCAACCACAGGACAGAGUUGUUUAGACCAUAAGAAGCAAAUGGACAGUUGGGGUAAGACCGUGGGGUGCGGUUGGGGGCAGACUCGGAUCAUGGAUGAGUCAGGGUCCUUACUUCCCUAACUCUCUACUGCUAUUUCAUGACUAUUACUUUUCCACCCUCCUUCCAAAUUCCCCUGCCCUUCUAUUACUCUGGCAAACUGCUCAUCCCUGUUACUGCCACCUUCCAAUCUCUUGUUCCCAUCCUUUGCUCCUUUCUUUAAGAACGUAGGCGUGUGGCACCAUUGCUUACCUUUCCUUCCGCGUUCCUCCUGACAUCCUGAGUGACCCUAGGCCUUCAUCCUUUAACAUCCUCAUCCUCAAUGAUGACUUCUUCCACUUGACCCUAACCACCUACUACAUCCAUAGUCACAUCCAUCUCUGAAGUCCUCAGCUCAUAACAAACGCCCCAUUUUCUGACCACCGUGUCCUAUCUUUCUAGGUCGUUUGCUCCUUCCAUCACCCUGCAGAUUGCAGUAACAGUAGACUUCAAUCUCAUCAAGACAUACUGUUCUUUGACACCACUCUAUUUUCAGUCUAUCAGGUCCUCCUGCCUUUACAUCUUUUCUGAAUCCCACAACCAAUCGCCAGCAUUCUUUUGCAGAUGAUUCUGUUCUUUUUUUAAAAUUUUUUUAAACAUUUAUUUAUUUUUGAGACAGAGAGAGAGCAUGAACAGGGGAGGGUCAGAGAAAGAGGGAGACACAGAAUCUGAAACA